UUUUAGCCCUGAUGGGAACGGCAUCUUUUUGUCCCGUCCUAAACGGGACAAAAAAUAUAGUGGACAGCAGGAGCAGUU
rnacentral:sRNA from 1 species